rnacentral:tRNA from 1 species
GGCUGGGUGGCUCAGUUGGUUAAGCGUCUGACUUCGGCUCAGGUCAUGAUCUCAUGGCUCGUGGGUUUGAGCCCCACACCAGGCU